GGAGAGUGGCGCAAGGGUGAGUAACACGUGAGUAAUCUGCCCCGAAGUCUGGGAUAGCCCAUGGAAACGUGGAUUAAUACCGGAUGUGGCUGUAUGAACUGCGGUUCUAACAGUUAAAGAUUCAUCGCUUCGGGAUGAGCUCGCGGUCCAUCAGCUUGUUGGUGAGGUAACGGCUCACCAAGGCGACGACGGAUAGCUGGUCUGAGAGGAUGACCAGUCACACUGGGACUGAGACACUGCCCAGACUCCUACGGGAGGCUGCAGUCGAGAAUCUUCCGCAAUGGGCGCAAGCCUGACGGAGCGAUGCUGCCGUGCCGGACGAAGGCCUUCGGGUCGUAAAACGGCUGUCACUCGGGACGAAUUUUGACGGUACCGAGAGAAGGAAGCCACGGUUUAACUACGUGCCAGCAGCCGGGGUAAUACGUAGGGUGGCGAGCGUUAUUCGGAAUUAUUGGGCCUAGAGGGUUCGUAGGGGGGUAAUGUAAGUCCGGUGUGAAAUCUCGAGGCUUCAACCUCCGAAACUGCAUUGGAAACCUGCAUGACUUGAGUGUAAAGACGAAAGCGGAAUUCCUGGGGUACCGGUGGAAUGCGUUAGAUUACCAAGGGAGGACACCGACGGGCGAAGGCAGCUUUUCUGGCUGGCAACUGGACCCUGGAUGACCGAACGCUAGGGGUAGCGAACAGGAUUUAAAUCCCCUUGGUAGUCCUAGCUGUAAACGUUGUGCAACUGGAUGUGGCCGGAUUUGGUCCACGUCUGUGUCUGAGCGAAGCCGUUUAAGGCCACCGCCUGGGGACUACGCCCGCAAGGCUUAAACCUCAAAGAGGUCUUGAACGCGCCCCCGCACAAGCGGUGGAGCAUGUGCCUCACUUCGAGGCAACGCGAAGAAUCCUUACCUGGCUUGGACAUAUACCUGCCCGCCGGUGAGAGCCGGUUUCUCUUUGAGCAGGUAUACAGGUGCUGCAUGGCUGUCGACAGCUCGUGCUGUGAAGUGUU
rnacentral:rRNA from 1 species